rnacentral:rRNA from 1 species
GAUGAACGCUAGCGGGAGGCUUAACACAUGCAAGUCGAGGGGCAUCACGAGGUAGCAAUACCUUGGUGGCGACCGGCGCACGGGUGAGUAACACGUAUGCAACCUUCCCUGUACAGGGGAUAACCCGGAGAAAUUCGGACUAAUACCCCAUGAUGAUAUUAAUGGGCAUCCAAUAAUAUUUAAAGCUCCGGCGGUACGGGAUGGGCAUGCGCGACAUUAGCUAGUUGGUAGGGUAACGGCCUACCAAGGCCACGAUGUUUAGGGGACCUGAGGGGGUUGUCCCCCACACUGGUACUGAGACACGGACCAGACUCCUACGGGAGGCAGCAGUGAGGAAUAUUGGUCAAUGGGCGCAAGCCUGAACCAGCCAUCCCGCGUGAAGGAAGAAUGCGCUACGCGUUGUAAACUUCUUUUCCAGGGGGAGAAUUUUCCUGUCGAGACAGGGAUUGACGGUACCCUGGGAAUAAGCAUCGGCUAACUCCGUG